GGUUAAGUUAGAAAGGGCGCACGGUGGAUGCCUUGACACUAGGAGUCGAUGAAGGACGGGACUAACGCCGAUAUGCUUCGGGGAGCUGUAAGUAAGCUUUGAUCCGAAGAUUUCCGAAUGGGGAAACCCACCAUACGUAAUGGUAUGGUAUCCUUAUCUGAAUACAUAGGGUAAGGAAGACAGACCCAGGGAACUGAAACAUCUAAGUACCUGGAGGAAGAGAAAGCAAAUGCGAUUUCCUGAGUAGCGGCGAGCGAAACGGAACAUAGCCCAAACCAAGAGGCUUGCCUCUUGGGGUUGUAGGACAUUCUAUACGGAGUUACAAAGGAACGAGGUAGACGAAGCGACCUGGAAAGGUCCGUCGUAGAGGGUAACAACCCCGUAGUCGAAACUUCGUUCUCUCUUGAAUGUAUCCUGAGUACGGCGGAACACGUGAAAUUCCGUCGGAAUCUGGGAGGACCAUCUCCCAAGGCUAAAUACUCCCUAGUGAUCGAUAGUGAACCAGUACCGUGAGGGAAAGGGUCGAC
rnacentral:rRNA from 2 species